rnacentral:rRNA from 1 species
CCUACGGGAGGCAGCAGUGGGGAAUAUUGGACAUGGGCGCAAGCCUGAUCCAGCAAUGCCGCGUGUGUGAAGAAGGUCUUCGGAUUGUAAAGCACUUUCGACAGGGACGAUGAUGACGGUACCUGUAGAAGAAGCCCCGGCUAACUUCGUGCCAGCAGCCGCGGUAAUACGAAGGGGGCUAGCGUUGCUCGGAAUUACUGGGCGUAAAGGGCGCGUAGGCGGCGUGAUCAGUCAGGCGUGAAAUUCCUGGGCUUAACCUGGGGGCUGCGCUUGAUACGGUCGUGCUAGAGGGCAGAAGAGGGUCGUGGAAUUCCCAGUGUAGAGGUGAAAUUCGUAGAUAUUGGGAAGAACACCGGUGGCGAAGGCGGCGACCUGGUCUGUUACUGACGCUGAGGCGCGAAAGCGUGGGGAGCAAACAGGAUUAGAUACCCUGGUAGUCCACGCUGUAAACGAUGUGCGCUGGAUGUUGGGUGACCUAGUCACUCAGUGUCGUAGCUAACGCGGUAAGCGCNCCGCGNGGAGACGCGCGAGUAGAACUAAUAGAUGAGNGNGAGAGNGCGAGACGACACGAGGGAGAG